AUAAAGAAAAUCAUUAAUCACAAAUCUUGCUGCUGUACAGGCACGCCUAAUCACAAUGACUGUGCCCCGAAAUAAUUUCCUCCUUAAGCACAUACCUCAGUGUGGAUAAGAAAAACCUUUUAAUAUAAUACAGCGCAGAUUGAUAGGACCAGACUCCACGGACAUGAAGAUAAAUUAAGCACCCUCCUCACAGAAUAUAAUAAUCUCCAUGAUUAAACAGCUUUAAUUUUAGACACAGACGGUGUUUCUGUUAAAUUUGAGCAAAACAUUUACCUCUGUUUAUAAUGCAUGAUUAAACAGACCCAUUAGGAAAUAAAUUAAAUUAAGGCAAACAUGAAAACAUAUAUUUUACAAUAUAUUUGCUAGUCAUAAAAGCCAAAGGUCAAAGUCAAACGUCAGUGAGUCUAAGUAUUUUCUGUUGGACUAUUAGGCUGAAAAUACUUUCAUUGGCCACUUCAUUAGGUACACCUCUUCAACUGCUUGUUACCAGAGCUAUCUAAUGAGCAAAACACAAGGCAGCAACUCAGUGACAUAGACAUGAGUGGCAGUUCUGUGGGUGAAAAGACUACUGUGAUUGUGACUCAAAGUGACAACUACUUCGAGCUGAUAGGAAGGCAACAGUAACUCAGGAGCACAUUCGUUACAACCACGGUAUGCAGAAGAGCAUAUCUGAACAGACAGCACCUCAAACAAGAAGACCAUAAAGAGCGCCACUCCUUUCAGUUGAAAACGGGAAACUGAUGGUACAGUUCACAAAAGAUCACCAACAUCGAACAAUAGAAGACUGGAAAAAAAAAAAUGUUGCCUGGUCUGAUGAGUCUUUAUUUUUGCCGUGACAUUCAGAUGGUAGAGUCAGAAUUCUGUGUAAACAACAUGAAAGCAUGAAUCCAGCUUGCCUUCUCUCAACAGUUCAGUCUGCUGGUGAUGGUGUAGGGGAUAUUGUCUUGGCACAAUUUGCACCCCUUAGUACCAGCUGACCAUGAUUUAACCAGCACAGCCUACCCCAGUAUUGUAGCCAUUUCAAUCUCUUUACGAUCACAGUGUACUCAUCUUCUGAUAACUGCUUCCAGCAAGAUAACGCGCCAAGUCAAAAAGAACAAAUUACCUCAAACUAGUUUCAUGGACAAAACAAUGAGUUCACUGUACCCAGUCACCAGAUCUCAAUCUAGUGACCUUUGGGAUGUGGCGAAACAGGAAAUUUGCAACAUAGAUUUCCAGCCGACACUUCUGCAAGCAACUGCGAUGGUAUCACAUCAAUAGACCUAUGCCCUGGUCCGACAGAAGAAAAUGUGCAUCUUUGAGUGAACUAUAGUUCACUCAAAGUUCACCAUCAGCAAUUGAAGAGUGACUGCUGGGAAAGUUGCACUGACACAGGCGGCUACAAAGCAUUUCAGUUCCGACUUACUGAUCUCUUCUUCUUCCUUUGACUGCUUCACUUAGGGAUCACCACAGCAGAUCAUGAUUGUCUCCUCCUUACUACAUCAGUCAGUCUCCAUUAUGGUCUUUCUCUCUCUGUGCCUCUGAAUAUGCCUUCGCCCUCACUUUUACUUUGUUUAACCUAUUAAAAUGUUUCCAGCUGUACUGAAGUCAUCAAUUCCCAUUUAUAAAUACCAAAACAGUCUCAUAUAACAUACCACUAUGUGUUUUUAAAGUCUCGCUGUUUCUGUGU